GGGGGCACCCUGACCGAGCAACGCCGCGUGAGUGAAGAAGGUUUUCGGAUCGUAAAGCUCUGUUGUAAGAGAAGAACGUGUGUGAGAGUGGAAAGUUCACACAGUGACGGUAACUUACCAGAAAGGGACGGCUAACUACGUGCCAGCAGCCGCGGUAAU
rnacentral:rRNA from 1 species